rnacentral:rRNA from 1 species
UGGUUCUUGAGAUAACGUAAGGGAUAAAAAUGAUAGUACCUUACUAUAAGUGUUGUCCAACUAUACUGGUGCCAGAAGACUCGGUAACGCCAGAAACGCAAACGUUAGUCGUCCUAAUCAGGCGUAAAGGGUAAGUAGGCUGCUUUGAAAGUUGUUAGUUAGAAAGCUCUUUAAAAAAUUGUUUAAAGUAAUUAAUAAUGAAUUAAAGCUAGAAUCAAAUAGGGGAUAAGCCAAAUAAUAUUUAGUGUAAGGCUAAUAUCUUUAGAUACUAAAUGGAAUACUAAGGUGAAAACUUUUAUCUACUAAUGAUUGACGCUGAGGAACGAAGGUGAGAAUAGAAAACAGGAUUAGAGACCCAGGUAUCUCUCACUGUCAACGAUGAAUGGUAGUUGUUAGUUAAACUUAACUAGUAACGAUGUUAACGCGUUAACCAUUCCGCCUUGCGAGUACG